rnacentral:rRNA from 1 species
UGCAAAACUAGAGUAUGAGAGAGGGAAACGGAAUUCCNUGUGUAGCGGUGGAAUGCGUAGAUAUAUGGAGGAACACCAGUGGCGAAGGCGGUUUCCUGGAUCAUUACUGACGCUCAUGCACGAAAGCGUGGGGAGCAAAUAGGAUUAGAUACCCURGUAGUCCACGCCGUAAACGAUGAGUACUAAGUGUUGGGAUAACCCAGUGCUGAAGUUAACACAUUAAGUACUCCGCCUGANGAGUAUGCUCGC